CCCUGCAUAAAAACUGAAAAGAGUCUGCAACCAGGUUCAUUAACUAGCUGAAUACCCUUAAAGGCGUAUGCAUUUAUGCUUGGUUUUACCAUCCUACAACCAUUCUGGGUGAAUUAUCCAUCUCUAUUAAAAGUUGGUCCUAUAUAUAUGGGCUAUGGAUGUUUUAUAUCCAUGAAGGCCUUUGUUCCUUCCUUUUUUUGUGAUACCAUACAGAAACCCCUGAUGAAGUCGUUCUGACGAAACGCGUUGGGUCGAAUCCGUUACGGUCUCUUAUCUAGUUCAUUAAUACACCCUACAGAAUAUACACCUAUAAGGGUGAGGGUGUUCUUUAAAGGCUUGAACAGAAAACCUAUUGACUGUAUCUGGAUGUUUUUCUUUUAAGAAUGUUUAUAUGAAUGUAUGGAACCUUUUAUCUGUAAAAAAAAUGUUCAUAUGAA